GGCAAUAUAGCUCAGUGGUAGAGCACUUGCCUAGCAUGUGAGAGGUCCUGGGUUUGAUCUCCAACACUGCCA
rnacentral:tRNA from 1 species